CCAGAGAACUUAGCAGAGAUGCUUUGGUGCCUUCGGGAACUCUGAGACAGGUGCUGCAUGGCUGUCGUCAGCUCGUGUUGUGAAAUGUUGGGUUAAGUCCCGCAACGAGCGCAACCCUUAUCCUUUGUUGCCAGCGAUUCGGUCGGGAACUCAAAGGAGACUGCCGGUGAUAAACCGGAGGAAGGUGGGGAUGACGUCAAGUCAUCAUGGCCCUUACGGCCAGGGCUACACACGUGCUACAAUGGCGCAUACAAAGAGAAGCGACCUCGCGAGAGCAAGCGGACCUCAUAAAGUGCGUCGUAGUCCGGAUUGGAGUCUGCAACUCGACUCCAUGAAGUCGGAAUCGCUAGUAAUCGUAGAUCAGAAUGCUACGGUGAAUACGUUCCCGGGCCUUGUACACACCGCCCGUCACACCAUGGGAGUGGGUUGCAAAAGAAGUAGGUAGCUUAACCUUCGGGAGGGCGCUUACCACUUUGUGAUUCAUGACUGGGGUGAAGUCGUAACAAGGUAGGCGUAGAUGA
rnacentral:rRNA from 1 species